AACGAACGCUGGCGGCAUGCCUAACACAUGCAAGUCGAACGAAGGCUUCGGCCUUAGUGGCGCACGGGUGCGUAACGCGUGGGAAUCUGCCCUUGGGUUCGGAAUAACUCAGAGAAAUUUGAGCUAAUACCGAAUGAUGUCGAAAGACCAAAGAUUUAUCGCCCAAGGAUGAGCCCGCGUAGGAUUAGCUUGUUGGUGAGGUAAAGGCUCACCAAGGCGACGAUCCUUAGCUGGUCUGAGAGGAUGAUCAGCCACACUGGGACUGAGACACGGCCCAGACUCCUACGGGAGGCAGCAGUGGGGGAAUAUUGGACAAUGGGCGAAAGACCUGAUCCAGCAAUGCCGCGUGAGUGAUGAAGGCCUUAGGGUUGUAAAGACUCUUUUACCUAGGGAGUGAUAAUAGACAGUACCUGGAGGAAUAAGACUCCGGCGUAACUACCGUCGCCA
rnacentral:rRNA from 1 species